ensembl:miRNA gga-mir-1665 gga-mir-1665
GAUACGAGGUAAGGCCCAGGAGCGCUGCAGCAGGGAUGCUGACAGCUGGAGUGUCUCAGGGCCUUGCUUUCAAGUGUU